UUGUCGCAUGGCAUUUGUAUUAAACGCUCCGGCGCCAUAGGAUGGACCCGCGUCCCAUUAGCUAGUUGGUGAGAUAACAGCUCACCAAGGCCACGAUGGGUAACCGGUCUGAGAGGGCGAACGGUCACACUGGAACUGAGACACGGUCCAGACUCCUACGGGAGGCAGCAGUGGGGAAUAUUGCGCAAUGGGGGCAACCCUGACGCAGCAAUACCGCGUGAGUGAAGAAGGUUUUCGGAUCGUAAAGCUCUGUUAUUGGGGAAGAAAAAAAGACGGUACACAAGAAGAAAGUUCCGGCUAACUACGUGCCAGCAGCCGCGGUAAUACGUAGGGAACAAGCGUUGUCCGGAUUUACUGGGCGUAAAGGGCACGCAGGCGGUUUUUUAAGUCAGAUGUGAAAGGCCACAGCUCAACUGUGGACAUGCAUUUGAAACUGAAAGACUUGAGUAUUGGAGAGGCAAGUGGAAUUCCUAGUGUAGCGGUGAAAUGCGUAGAUAUUAGGAGGUACACCGGUGGCGAAGGCGGCUUGCUGGACAAAUACUGACGCUGA
rnacentral:rRNA from 1 species